rnacentral:rRNA from 1 species
CCUACGGGUGGCAGCAGUGAGGAAUAUUGGUCAAUGGGCGCGAGCCUGAACCAGCCAAGUAGCGUGAAGGAUGACUGCCCUACGGGUUGUAAACUUCUUUUAUAAAGGAAUAAAGUGAGGCACGUGUGCCUUUUUGUAAGUACUUUAUGAAUAAGGAUCGGCUAACUCCGUGCCAGCAGCCGCGGUACAACGGAGGAUCCGAGCGUUAUCCGGAUUUAUUGGGUUUAAAGGGUGCGUAGGCUGUGAGGUAAGUCAGCGGUGAAAAGCCCCGGCUCAACGGGGUGAAGUGCCAUUGAUACUGGCUUGGUGGAAUGUGGAUGCCGUGGGAGGAAUGUGUGGUGUAGCGGGGAAAUGCAUAGAGAUCAUACAGAACACCGAUUGCGAAGGCAUCUCACGAAUCCGCGAUUGACGCUGAUGCACGAAAGCGUGGGUAGCAAACAGGAUUAGAUACCCUUGUAGUC